CAGCAUGCUUCUGGGGUGGGCAAGAGUCCAUCAAAGAAAAGAUCUGCUAAGGACAAGGCAAAUCACCUGGCAUUAGUUAAGUACUUGGAGAAGGAUCUUGCAGAUGUAGGCAGCCCAUCAAAACCAAAGGCUGACACUGAUCCUUUCAGUGGUUGUGACCAUAACGAGAAACUUGUGUGGCCUUGGACAGGCAUUGUGGUCAAUAUUCCAACUACAAGGGCAGAGGACGGACGAUAUGUAGGAGCUAGUGGAUCCAAGUUUAGGGAUGAGUUGAUAAGUAGAGGCUUUAACCCCACGAGAGUUCAUCCGCUAUGGAAUUACCGAGGUCAUUCAGGGACUGCUGUUGUGGAAUUCCACAAAGAUUGGCCUGGUUUACAUAAUGCCCUUUCAUUUGAGAAGGCAUAUGAAGCUGAUCAUCAUGGGAAAAAAGAAUGGUUUACUAAUAGUGGAGAAAAAUCUGGUGUCCAUUGUUGGGUUGCACGUGCUGAUGAUUAUAAUGCAGAUAAUAUAAUUGGAGAACACCUACGGAAGAUUGGAGACCUUAAAACAAUUUCUGAAAUCAUGGAGGAAGAAGCAAGAAAACAGGACAAACUAAUAUCCAAUCUCAAUAACAUUAUUGAAACUAAGAAUAAACACUUAAAAGAGAUGGAGCAAAAGUGUAGCGAGACUUCAAUCUCCCUCAACAAGUUGAUGGAAGAGAAAGAUAGGCUUCUUCAUGCCUAUAAUGAAGAGAUUAAAAAAAUUCAAAUGAGUGCAAGGGAGCACUUUCAGAAGAUAUUUAAUGAACAUGAAAAGCUUAAGUUGCAACUGGAAUCUCAGAAAAAAGAGCUUGAAAUGCGUGGGUCAGAAUUGGAAAGGCGUGAGGCCAAGAAUGAAAGUGAUAGAAGGCAGCUUUCUGAAGAGAGAAAAGAAUGCAAUCAGAAAUAGCUCACUUCAGUUGGCUUCUUUGGAGCAACAGAAGGCUGAUGAGAAUGUAUUGAAAUUGGCUGAAGAUCAGAAGAGGCAAAAAGAGGAACUGCACAACAGAAUCAUUCUACUGGAAAAAAAGCUGGAUGCCAAACAAGCUCUGGAACUGGAAAUCGAGAGACUUAGAGGCUCAUAUAAUGUGAUGAAGCAUAUGGGAGAUGAUGGUGAUGCAGAAGUUCUGAAAAGGAUGGAAUUAAUAAUUCAGAAUCUGAGAGAAAAGGAAGGAGACCUUGAUGAAUUAGAAACUCUGAACCAGGCUCUUAUUGUAAAGGAGCGAAAGAGCAAUGAUGAACUGCAGGAUGCUCGGAAGGAAUUAAUUAAUGGCCUGAAAGAAGUAUCAAGUCGUGCUCAUAUUGGCGUUAAGAGGAUGGGAGAACUAGAGAGUAAACCAUUCCUUGAAGUAAUGAAGAGAAAGUAUACUGAAGAUGAAGCAGAAGUCAGAGCUUCCGAACUUUGCUCAUUGUGGGUGGAAUAUCUUAAAGAUCCUGACUGGCAUCCUUUUAAAGUUGUCACAGUUGAAGAAAAACAUAAGGAAGUAAUUGACAAUGAGGAUGAAAAAUUGAAAGAUUUGAGAGAUGAGAUGGGUGAUGAAGUUUACAAGGCUGUGACUGAUGCUUUAAUGGAGAUAAAUGAAUACAACCCGAGUGGAAGGUAUAUAAUCUCAGAGCUGUGGAAUUAUAAAGAAGGGAAGAAGGCUGCCUUGAAAGAGGGAGUCUCAUUUUUAUUGAAGCAAUGGCAAAUAGCUAAACGCAAGAGGCUACUUUGAAGGAAACAAUCAUAACUGAUGCUGAGAUGAUGUGCUCCAAAAUUGGGAGGCAGGUCACCAGAGGAUGAGGCUUAUAAAAUGAGUUGCCUUCUGGUUUCAUGGUGUCGUUUGCUUCAAGGCAUUUAUUCUGCGCAGGCUAGGCUGAUUUAUUGUUUCAUGUUUAGAAACUGUAUUUGUAUGCUGUGUUCGACUUUCCCAUAAGCC
rnacentral:misc_RNA from 1 species